GGGGCCGUAUUGGUUUUGACAGCAAAGUUCUUUGUAAGUAUAAGCAUGCAGUGCGUUGUAUAAUUAGCACUUAAAUCUGAAUAUUCAAACUUUAAAUGGCAACACACAGUUAGCCAUGGCUGCCUAAUCAGUGAUUAGAUAGUCAUUUGGGCCGCCGCACAGGUUUGCUUUUUACCAAGUGCUGCCGCCGACUCAAAACAAACAAAAGCUGCUGUUGCAAUAGGCUGUGCCUGUAACUUAAGAUUUAUUCAGCUAAGGAUUAAGUUGGUUGGUUGUUUCCCUGCUUUUUCCUAACAAUUAAUAAAUAACUAAGCAUGUAGAAAGCUUAUGGCGAAUUUGUUUGGACAAGGGUUCGACUCCCUUCGGCUCCACCA
rnacentral:tmRNA from 1 species